rnacentral:rRNA from 1 species
UGGGGAAUAUUGGGCAAUGGGCGAAAGCCUGACCCAGCAACGCCGCGUGAAGGAAGAAGGUUUUCGGAUCGUAAACUUCUAUCCUUGGUGAAAAUAAUGAUGGUAGCCAAGAAGGAAGCCCCGGCUAACUACGUGCCAGCAGCCGCGGUAAUACGUAGGGGGCAAGCGUUGUCCGGAAUGAUUGGGCGUAAAGGGCGCGUAGGCGGCCUGGUAAGUCUGGAGUGAAAGUCCUGCUUUUAAGGUGGGAAUGGCUUUGGAUACUGUCGGGCUUGAGUGCAGGAGAGGUAAGUGGAAUUCCCGGUGUAGCGGUGAAAUGCGUAGAGAUCGGGAGGAACACCAGUGGCGAAGGCGACUUACUGGACUGUAACUGACGCUGAGGCGCGAAAGUGUGGGGAGCAAACA